rnacentral:lncRNA from 1 species
AAUGAAUGGGGGAGCGGCGGCCGGGGGGCGGGGAGGGAGGAGCUGAACGCCGGGGUUGCUUCCGAGGAGUGUUUUGUACAUCUUUAGGCGGAGGAGGAGGAGAAGCGAGAGGAGGAGAGACGGGAGGCCGCCUCGAGGGAAGGGCGGCCCGGGUGGGCUGGGGCUGAGCCGUAGGGAGUUUCGUGGGUCUGGGGCGUGUAGGGUGUUGUGUCUAUGCGCACGAGCAUCCAAAGGGACCGCGCAUACGCGCAAACCCGGAAUCCUGGUGCCCUUAAGCGUGACUGUACUGUGUGUGUCGCGAGUACCUGAGUGUUUCUGGGGCGGCAGGUGUUUCCACGGCCGCGUGGAUCCAUCGAGUGUGGGUUUUGUCUCGGGAGUUGCCCGUGUGGGUCCGUUUGUGUCUGCGCGUCUCUCUGAUGAUAAGAGAGAGAUGUGACCACCAGGGAGGCCUAGAACAAUCUAGGAGCCAGUGAACUAAUUGGAGGAAGAGGAGUCUUGAAACAAAAUGGAAGAGAAAUGUUUGAGUGAUGAACUGGGAACUCGGGAAAAAUUAUUUAAUCGACAAAGAGAAAGGGAGAAAGAGAGGAGAAGACAUCGAGCUAGCCAGAAUGAUCCUGGGUCUCAGAAGGUCAGGACUGAGGGGAGAGGAAAGGGAGAGGAGGAGCAGCCAGUGCAGAGCUUCUCAGCCUUCACUGGAAUCCCAAUGAGGAGGAGUCAGCACCACGGACAGCUCUCCAGCCACAAACCCAGUCAGCGAUUUCUAUUUUCGCCUGGUGGAAAUUUCUCCCUUUUUUCUUGGGCAACUUUCUCUUUCCCUUGGCUUCUGGUCCAGGUUCAGGUCUUGAACACAGGUUCCCCAGGUCAGUUCUGACUUUGAUUCUGACCACGAAGAAAUACGCCCACCACACACACUCCUUCUCCCACCCACCGCGGUAUGAAACCCCAGGUCACUAUCUCUUGCCUCUCCUCCUUUCUUUCUUUUCUCUCUCUCUCUUUCUGUCUGUGCCCCAUUCCUUCCUUUAUUCGUCCCUAUCUUUCUCUUUGUUUCCCCAUCAUCCCCCAGCUGAGAUCUACUUCCAUGACUGUUAGUAGGCAACAGCUGCCCUGCUGAUAAUGCAGUUCUGAAAUCAAUCUGAGACAACGUAGUCAGGCAACUUCAGGUGAAGACCAAAGUUCUGACUGAUUCUUCUUAACCCUUUCCUUGUAAUCAAUCUCCCAAGAUGGGUUGUGGUCUACAUACCUUAGAAAGUGGGGACUUAAUGCUUUGGAAUACUGUCCAGUCUUUCUCUUCCUCACCCCACCCAGUCAAUAUUUCCCUAAAGAAAAAAAGAGCUCUUCUAGUUCCAACCAAUACUACACAGAGAGAAAGAGGAGAGAGAAUUUUGAACUUUUACCGUGCACCAAGCAUUUUAUUUGCAAUGUUCUGAAUAUUAUUGCUUACAGUUCUGAAAAUACUUUGCAGUAUGAAUAGAUAAUACUAUCCCAUCUUUAUGGCAUAGGAAAUUGAGUCUUGAAAAACUUGAGUAUAUGCCAAACUAGCUAUAUGCCAAAAUAUAGCUAGUAGGUGAUGGAGUCAGGAAUUCAACACCCAAGUCCAAGUCCAAAAUCUUUAUCCUCUGGGAAUAAUGGGGAAGCCCUGGGGUGAUUGGAAGUUCUUGGAAUUUUAUGGGGUCACUGCACCCAACCCUAAAUAUCAACUUAGAUGUCUGGAUCCAUUGCAUUAUCUGUGUCCCAUCCCAAUGGAUGAUUUAGUGUAUCUUGUCCCUGGAGAAGGAGGUGAAGACUUUGCAUGGACAGAUUUAAGGCUCACUCGAGCCUUAUGGUUUCUGAGUUUUGAAUAAAAUGCCAACCUUUCCAGGUCUUAGUUCAUUUGCAUUUGGCUCAGUUUAGCUUUCCUGUUUCUAUGAAGAAAGGCUAAGAGGGCCAUUUUAAAAUGUCUCCGAAGACACCUUGGUCAUCAGAAAAGUUCUCAGUGCAAAGCAUUUCUAAUGACUUAUGGAGAAUGCAAUCAAAACCAUAUGGAUAACAUUUUUGCAGAAAUACACACGGGUGGGAAAAGGUUUAGAGGCCAAAAAUAUAUUUCUUUUUUUCUUCUUUGCCAAAGAAAGAACAUUUAAGGCAGCUUGAGAUAUGUGAGAAAUGUCUUGUUCUUUCUUUGGGGUGGGUGUUGGUGAGCAGCUGUUUGCUAUUUCCACCGAAUUUACUAAGGGCUUCCAUGGGGAGGAGCUGCCAACAGAUUAGGAUAGACUUAAGAAAGAACUUCCUGUCUGUAGAUUUUGGGGUGACACUAAAAUAGGACCUUUUGUACAAUGGCAUUUAAUAAGAAAAUGGAAUGUUUCACAGCAUUUCAUUCAUAGUAUGAUAGAUUUGAAAAUCAAUGGAUAAUAUUUUUAAUAUCACAGACUGUUUUAAGAACCUCACUAUUGCUAUAGACCCU